rnacentral:lncRNA from 1 species
AGAAGACUCAGAUUCAUCAUUUAAUCAUGCAUUGCAACAUUACUUUCGGUAUCCACUACAACUAAACCAAAUCGGCUAUGAAUGGUUAUCUGCUAAAUAGCCGCAGGCCAUCCAAGAUCACCCUGCCAUUUGAUAUUAUUAAAAUAUUUACAGAAGAAGACAAACAAUAAGAGAGAAAUAUCACUAAAAUCAUGCUAAGAAUUAACUAUUUUCUAUCCGAAAUCAUCAUAGCCUCUUUAUAUAGGCCUACAAAUGGGUCGGG